rnacentral:sRNA from 1 species
CCGGACGCCAAACCGGGUCCGGUUGGACAUCGAGAGCGCCGGCUCUUGGUUACCGGCGCAUCUCAUGCCCAAAUUGCUUCGUUUGGAGGAUUUGGAGAUGAGAC